GCCGCGUGUGUGAAGAAGGCCUUCGGGUUGUAAAGCACUUUCAGCGGGGAGGAAGGCGUUAAGGUUAAUAACCUUGGCGAUUGACGUUACCCGCAGAAGAAGCACCGGCUAACUCCGUGCCAGCAGCCGCGGUAAUACGGAGGGUGCAAGCGUUAAUCGGAAUUACUGGGCGUAAAGCGCACGCAGGCGGUCUGUCAAGUCGGAUGUGAAAUCCCCGGGCUCAACCUGGGAACUGCAUUCGAAACUGGCAGGCUAGAGUCUUGUAGAGGGGGGUAGAAUUCCAGGUGUAGCGGUGAAAUGCGUAGAGAUCUGGAGGAAUACCGGUGGCGAAGGCGGCCCCCUGGACAAAGACUGACGCUCAGGUGCGAAAGCGUGGGGAGCAAACAGGAUUA
rnacentral:rRNA from 1 species